rnacentral:lncRNA from 1 species
GUGGCACCGCCCAGAGGCUCAGUCUUCGAGCUCUGCCAGGCGGUGCAACCGCCUCAGUCAGGAGGUGCAACCGCCUGAUCCCGGAAUUCCGGGAAUUGACAGUUUUGAGCUCCAAAUUUGAACUGGGUUGGGGCCUAUAAAUACCCCACCCAUUCAGCACUGAAAGGGCAUGAACUUACACCGAAAUCUUGAUCUUGUUCUGUGAUUUUUAGA